UCGCUACUCUCCCUCCAGACUACCAUGACUUAGCCCCUGUGUUCAGUAAGGCUAGUGCUCUCUCUCUACCUCCGCAUCGCCCAUAUGACUGCGCCAUAGAUCUCCUACCUGGAGCGCCUCUGCCCAACAGUCGGCUGUAUAAUAUCUCCAAACCAGAAAGGGAAAGUAUGGAGACAUACAUUAAUGAGUCACUAGCCGCAGGAAUAAUUCGCCCCUCGUCUUCUCCGCUCGGGGCGGGGUUUUUCUUCGUGGGCAAAAAAGAUGGUUCCCUUCGACCCUGUAUAGAUUACCGGGGGUUAAAUCAGAUCACCAUCAAGAAUAAGUACCCGCUACCUCUCCUAGCUUCAGCGUUUGAACCAGUUCAGGAAGCUACUGUCUUCACUAAAUUAGAUCUAAGAAACGCUUAUCACCUUCUCAGGAUCCGGGAGGGUGAUGAGUGGAAAACCGCCUUUAAGACACCUCUGGGCCAUUUCGAAUAUUUAGUGAUGCCUUUCGGCCUGUCAAACGCACCUGCCUGUUUCCAAGCCUUAGUUAAUGACGUUUUGAGAGAUUUUUUGAACAUUUUCGUUUUUGUUUAUCUUGAUGACAUAUUGAUCUAUUCCAGGACUCUGUCAGAACAUAAGAGACAUGUAAGAUUUGUUCUCCAGCGACUGCUGGAGAAUAAAUUGUUUGUAAAGGCUGAGAAGUGCGAAUUUCACCGCCCAUCAGUCACCUUCCUGGGAUUCGUGCUCGAGGGCGGACAGGUAAGACCAUCGGAGGAGAAGAUCAAAGCUGUUCUAGACUGGCCUACCCCAGAGAAUAGAAAACAACUUCAACGAUUUCUGGGGUUUGCUAAUUUCUAUCGGAGGAUCGGAUGUGGGUUCCGGGUUCUUUUAUUUUAGAUCCUUCUUUGAUUUCUGAUUAUCGUUCCUCCCUGCCUUCCUCGGUUGGACCGCCGGGUGGCGGUCGUUGAGGGGGGGGUACUGUUGGGAUCCGGAGCUGUUCAUCCACCAGAGGGCGCUGGAGGCCUUGUUCCAUCUGAGGGCGUCUCCUGAACCACGCACCUGAAACCAUUCUGCCAUCAGGAGCUGUAUAACUGGAGAAGGCUGCUGACACUUCCCUGCCAGAUUGUUAGCUAGUUAUGGUACCGGCUCACUCCAGCUCUACUCUUCCUGUUUGCUUCCUGAAUUCUGAUCCACCUGUGUCUCUGACCUUUUUUCAGCUGAGUGACCAGAUACGUGCUGAAGAUAGAUCCAGCCCAGGACCCCUCCGAACCUACAGCUCGGCAGCCUGCUUCUGGCAGAACAGUUCAGAC